AUACGGAGGGUGCAAGCGUUAUUCGGAAUCACUGGGCGUAAAGGACGCGUAGGCGGCUUGGUAAGUUGGAUGUGAAAGCCUACAGCUUAACUGUAGAACUGCAUUUGAAACUGCUAACCUAGAGUAUGGGAGGGGGAGAUGGAAUUAGUGGUGUAGGGGUAAAAUCCGUAGAUAUCACUAGGAAUACCGAAAGCGAAGGCGAUCUCCUGGAACAUAACUGACGCUAAGGCGUGAAAGCGUGGGGAGCAAACAGGAUUAGAAACCCUUGUAGUCC
rnacentral:rRNA from 1 species